AACCCCACCAGGCCGUCUGCACCCCACUUCUGGGAAUUGGUCCUGUCCAUUUUUCUGGGCCUCACCCCUUCUGCCUUGGUACCUAGUCCUAUCCCAAGCCCUGGCCUGGGUGCUGGCAGGGGGGUUUACUCUAGCAGGAGGCUGGCCAGGUACCAGCAAGCUCCUCCCACUUCUGGACGUCAGUUUCCUCAUUUGCAGUGGGACAAGGGCAGCCUGGGAGAGCUCUGAGGCCUGUCUAGCUUCUGCUUGGUGGCCUGGGUGAUGCUGUGCCAUCCCCCUCCCUGCAACUAGCAGAUCCCAGGAUCCUAGGUCCCCCAGAGAGGGGCUCCUUUUACUUUGCUGACUUAGAGACCCCUGCCUUCAUGAAGGCCAGCCUCUAGGCCUUUUGAAGGACAGGUAUG
rnacentral:lncRNA from 10 species